UGCAAGUCGAGGGGAAACGACAUCGAAAGCUUGCUUUUGAUGGGCGUCGACCGGCGCACGGGUGAGUAACGCGUAUGCAACCUGCCCUUCACAGGGGGAUAACCGGGAGAAAUUCCGACUAAUACCGCAUACGUCCUCCGGGGGCAUCCCCGGGGGAUGAAAGAAUUAUCGGUGAAGGAUGGGCAUGCGUGAUAUUAGGUAGUUGGCGGGGCAACGGCCCACCAAGCCCACGAUAUCUAGGGGUUCUGAGAGGAAGGUCCCCACAUUGGUACUGAGACACGGACCAAACUCC
rnacentral:rRNA from 2 species